rnacentral:lncRNA from 11 species
AAGAAAAAUCUUGAAAUGGGUUUGCAGCUCCUUUUUCAAAUAUGAACCUGUAUAAUUGCACGCAGCCCUACAGAAGAGGAAAGACAUUAUUAAAACCAUAAUGGAAACAAGUUCUUUGUCCAGGCCAUGCCUUCAGACUGGAUCAUGUUUGUUCACCAAUUGAAGCAGAGUGGCAGAAUUUGAUGGCCAUGUGGUUAUGGCUGCCUCUCCGUGACUCUAUCUCAGGGAUCCCCAAAACUAAAGCCCAGGGCCAGAUGCGGCCCCCCAAGGUCAUUUACCUGGCACCUGCCCUAAACCUGAGACUUAGGGUCACCCCAAAUGUGCAACGACUUAAAGGCAGACAACAAGAAUCCUCAUUAACUUGACUACCGGUAUAUCUCAUCAGCCAAAAGCAGGCCACUUCCCAUGGAAAUACAGGACACCAUUGUCAUUGACUGAAUUGCCUCUCUGCUCCCUCUCUUCCUUGCCCAUAAAGAACAGCACCACCAGCAGCAGCAACCCCACCCAGACCUUGGCAGCCUCCAGCAGGGAAUGGAAGAGGCUCAGAACACAACACAAGGGCAAGAAAACACCCUUUCCACCUGCUAUGGAAGAGGCAUACUUGUAUGUCACUAACAGGAUGCUAGCCUGUGAGUGUAGCAUCUUUUCAGGAGUUGGACCAUGCAGAUACAUUAUUGUUGGCCUUGUCAUAUUGCUUUUAAAGAAAUUGAUGUAGGCCUUUUGUUUGAUAUCAGGCUUCUACUUUGUCUGAUUGCCUUUUCAUGAUGUCUCUGGAAGUCACCUCAACCUAGUGUAAGAAGAUACAGAAUAUAAGUAAAGAGCUAAAGAGAAU